rnacentral:rRNA from 1 species
CUCCUAAGGCUAAAUACUCUCUAGUGACCGAUAGUGAACCAGUACCGUGAGGGAAAGGUGAAAAGCACCCCGGAAGGGGAGUGAAAUAGAACCUGAAACCGUGUGCUUACAAGUAGUCAGAGCCCGUUAAUGGGUGAUGGCGUGCCUUUUGUAGAAUGAACCGGCGAGUUACGAUUUGAUGCAAGGUUAAGCAGUAAAUGUGGAGCCGUAGCGAAAGCGAGUCUGAAUAGGGCGUUUAGUAUUUGGUCGUAGACCCGAAACCAGGUGAUCUACCCUUGGUCAGGUUGAAGUUCAGGUAACACUGAAUGGAGGACCGAACCGACUUACGUUGAAAAGUGAGCGGAUGAACUGAGGGUAGCGGAGAAAUUCCAAUCGAACCUGGAGAUAGCUGGUUCUCUCCGAAAUAGCUUUAGGGCUAGCCUCAAGUGAUGAUUAUUGGAGGUAGAGCACUGUUUGGACGAGGGGCCCCUCUCGGGUUACCGAAUUCAGACAAACUCCGAAUGCCAAUUAAUUUAACUUGGGAGUCAGAACAUGGGUGAUAAGGUCCGUGUUCGAAAGGGAAACAGCCCAGACCACCAGCUAAGGUCCCAAAAUAUAUGUUAAGUGGAAAAGGAUGUGGCGUUGCCCAGACAACUAGGAUGUUGGCUUAGAAGCAGCCAUCAUUUAAAGAGUGCGUAAUAGCUCACUAGUCGAGUGACACUGCGCCGAAAAUGUACCGGGGCUAAACAUAUUACCGAAGCUGUGGAUUGUCCUUUGGACAAUGGUAGGAGAGCGUUCUAAGGGCGUUGAAGCAUGAUCGUAAGGACAUGUGGAGCGCUUAGAAGUGAGAAUGCCGGUGUGAGUAGCGAAAGACGGGUGAGAAUCCCGUCCACCGAUUGACUAAGGUUUCCAGAGGAAGGCUCGUCCGCUCUGGGUUAGUCGGGUCCUAAGCUGAGGCCGACAGGCGUAGGCGAUGGAUAACAGGUUGAUAUUCCUGUACCACCUAUAAUCGUUUUAAUCGAUGGGGGGACGCAGUAGGAUAG